rnacentral:rRNA from 1 species
GAUGAACGCUGGCGGCGUGCUUAACACAUGCAAGUCGAACGGGAAACCUAUUAUUGAAACUUCGGUCGAUUUAAUUGUUUCCUGGGGGGGACGGGUUGGUAACGGGUGGGUAAACUGCCCUAUACCGGGGGGUUACAACCAGGAAUGGUUGCUUAUAACGGAUUAACGCACGGGGACGCAAUGUCCCGUGUGAAAAAAUCCGGUGGGAUAGGAUGGGACCGCGUUGGAUUAGCUAGUUGGUGGGGUAACGGCCCACCAAGGCAACGGUCCAUAGCCGGCCUGAGAGGGUGAACGGCCACAUUGGGACUGAGACACGGCCCAGACUCCUACGGGAGGCAGCAGUCGGGAAUUUUGGGCAAUGGGCGAAAGCCUGACCCAGCAACGCCGCGUGAAGGAUGAAGUAUUUCGGUAUGUAAACUUCGAAAGAAUGGGAAGAAUAAAUGACGGUACCAUUUAUAAGGUCCGGCUAACUACGUGCCAGCAGCCGCAGUAAAAC